GUGUCUGAAUGGUGAAACCCGUCCUUUUCCACAGCGGCGAGAUGUGGCAGGGAAGCUGAAAAUGACUGAAACUUCAGCAAAAUUGAGACCCUGGAACCUCCAGACUCCAGCGAGCACAGCGUCAGAUGCUGCGUAACGCAGGAAUGAUUGAAUACACCAUUUGUGCAUUAGUUAAGUACAGCUGUGGCUAAAUUGAUGUUUCAUCAAAGCUCUCUGCAAUUUGGCAGCAGGCAUGACUUGAUAUGUAUUCACACAGAUGUGCACAAAACAUCUUUCCUCUUUUCUCAGGCAGUGACAUUGCUCGUUUUUUCAGGGAGAGCAUCCUUCAAUUGAUGGUUCGAGCCGGCUUCGGAAAUCUGAGUGCAGCAGGUCUGUUUUCAACGCAACCAGCCCUCAGAUCCAAGGCAGAUGCAGCAAUUAUGCUUCCAACUACAGAAUAACAGCUGAGCACAUACUGCUUUAAUAUCAGUAAA